rnacentral:misc_RNA from 1 species
GAUGAAGAACGCAGCGAAAUGCGAUAAGUAAUGCGAAUUGCAGAAUCCGUGAGUCAUCGAAUCUUUGAACGCACAUUGCGCCCUCUGGCAUUCCGGGGGGCAUGCCUGUCCGAGCGUCAUUGCUGCCCUCAAGCACGGCUUGUGUGUUGGGCCUCCGUCCUCCUCCCGGGGGACGGGCCCGAAAGGCAGCGGCGGCACCGCGUCCGGUCCUCGAGCGUAUGGGGCUUCGUCACCCGCUCUUGUAGGCCCGGCCGGCGCUUGCCGACACAUCAAUCUUUUUUCCAGGUUGACCUCGGAUCAGGUAGGGAUACCCGCUGAACUUAAGCAUAUCAAUAAGCGGAGGA